AGAGUUUGAUCAUGGCUCAGGGUAAACGCUGGCGGCGUGCCUAAAACAUGCAAGUCGAGCGGUGUCCUUCGGGGCACAGUGGCAGACGGCUGAGUAACGCGUGGGUGACGUACCUAUCGAUGGGGAAUAACUGCCCGAAAGGGUGGCUAAUACCGCAUACGUCCACUGAUUCGUGUCAGUGGGGAAAACCGCAAGGUGUCGAUGGAGCGGCCCGCGUUCGAUUAGCUGGUUGGUGGGGUAACGGCCUACCAAGGCGACGAUCGAUAGCUGGUCUCAGAGGAUGAUCAGCCAGACUGGGACUGAGACACGGCCCAGACUCCUACGGGAGGCAGCAGUUAGGAAUUUUGGGCAAUGGGCGCAAGCCUGACCCAGCAACGCCGCGUGGGUGACGAAGGCCUUCGGGUUGUAAAGCCCUUUUCUGAGGGAAGAUGAUGACGGUACCUCAGGAAGAAGCACCGGCUAACUACGUGCCAGCAGCCGCGGUAAUACGUAGGGUGCGAGCGUUGCCCGGAUUUAUUGGGCGUAAAGGGCGCGUAGGCGGUCACGCACGUCCGUUGUGAAAUCGCUCGGCUCAACUGGGCGGGGUCAGCGGAUACGGCGUGGCUGGAGCAAGCUAGGGGGCAAUGGAAUUCCCGGUGUAGUGGUGGAAUGCGUAGAUAUCGGGAGGAACACCAGUGGCGAAGGCGGUUGCCUGGAGCUUNNUGACGCUGAUGCGCGAAAGCGUGGGGAGCGAUCCGGAUUAGAUACCCUAGUAGUCC
rnacentral:rRNA from 1 species